GGGGCUGUAGCGCAGUUGGGAGCGCGUCUCAAUGGCAUUGAGAAGGUCAGGGGUUCGAAUCCCCUCAGCUCCA
rnacentral:tRNA from 1 species